rnacentral:sRNA from 1 species
AAAAAUCCAUGAAACGAAAUACAAAUCAAAGCAAGGCAAAACGGACCUCUAAAAAGAUAGAUGAAGAUGCAAAUGCCAAGGAGGGGUUAGCAUCCUCUGCUGACCGAUCACACCCGCCGUGCGCCCAAUGUCAUAUCGGUAAAAAUGUCAUAAACGGGAAAAAUGUCGUAAAAAAUAUCAUGAAUGGUAAAAACGGGGGGAAAUCCGUGGACAAUGCGGUAUUCAAUCAAUAGUCCAGAGCAGAGCAAUCACGGACCCAUUGAAAACCUUAGAGGCAGGAUCAGGUGCCUAGGAGGAGUGAGCUUCCUCUGCUGACCGGUCACACCCGCCCUGUGCUCUUUGUCGUAAUCGUGAAAAACCGGAAAAGUGCGUAGACAAUUAUGUAAUUAAUUAUGGUCUAACAAUUAGUUAAAAAAAUUCAGGCAGCAUGCAACCCAGUGGAAGAUGGUAUUUGCUGACAAGUUUGUUGUAUCGACCAUACAACUUGAUGACUACAAACGAGACUGUUGAUAGUCCUGUUUUAUCAACUUGUUUGUCAGUAGCUUGCUAAGCCUUAGAAACUGUUUAUGCGAAGAGCAUGUUCUUGUGUAUAGAAUUAACUGAGAGACAAAAACACCAUAUGCAGGUGAUGAAGGUAUAUAUUGCUACAUAAGUGAGGAAAAUUGACUUUACAAAAGUGAAGUCAUCGCGUUUAUCAUAAAGUUUUUUGUUAGGUUUCCAUCAAUGUCCAUUUCCAAUAAAAUAUACAAAUAUG